rnacentral:rRNA from 1 species
GAUUUCUUAAAUAUUUUUUUAUUUAAAAAUUUUUUAAAAUAUUUAAGGGGAGUAAUACGCUUUCGUUUUUUGAGUUAUCUAGUUUAUACAAAAAUUAAAAGGGAAAAUCUUUUUACUUUUAGUAAUUUCAAUGAACUUUUUAAUUUUUUAAUAGUAAAUAAAUGUGUAAUAACUUAUUUUUUAAUUUUUUUUAAAAUUUACUAUUUUAAAUAAUAUUUUUAGUUAAUUAAUAAAUUAGUAGAAUUUAAUUAAACAAAUUAAAUUUUAGUUGUAAUUUAGGAUUAAAAAUUAUUUAUGAUUACUGAUUUUUUCUCAGACUGGUUAACAAAAUCUUAGCUACAAAUUUUGUAGUUAUUUCUGCUCUAUGCGAAAAAGUAAAUGGCUGAUAAAACACUAAGGUAGCAAAAUCAUUAGUUAUUUAAUUGAUAACUUGUAUGAAUGAAUUUUCUGUGAAAAUAUUAAUUUUUUACUUGAACUUAUAAAUUUAUUGAAAAUAAUAAUUUUUUCUGUGGGACUAAAAGACCCUAAAAUUUUCAUAAUUCUAGAAAAUUAUUUGGUUGGGGCAAUAUUAAAAACUUAAUGUUUCAUUGAUUUACUUAUUUUUGAACUUUUUUUAAAGAUAAAAAGUAAAAUACUUUAGGGAUAACAGCUUAAUUAUUUUUAAGAGUUCUUAUUAUUAAAAUAGUUUUAGACCUCGAUGUUGGAUUGGGGUAACUUUUUGGGGCAG